rnacentral:rRNA from 1 species
CCUACGGGCGGCAGCAGUGGGGAAUAUUGGACAAUGGGGGGAACCCUGAUCCAGCCAUGCCGCGUGUGUGAAGAAGGCCCUCGGGUUGUAAAGCACUUUCAGUGAGGAAGAACGCCUGGUGGUUAAUACCCAUCAGGAAAGACAUCACUCACAGAAGAAGCACCGGCUAACUCCGUGCCAGCAGCCGCGGUAAUACGGAGGGUGCGAGCAUUAAUCGGAAUUACUGGGCGUAAAGCGCGCGUAGGUGGCUUGAUAAGCCGGUUGUGAAAGCCCCGGGCUCAACCUGGGAACGGCAUCCGGAACUGUCAAGCUAGAGUGCAGGAGAGGAAGGUAGAAUUCCCGGUGUAGCGGUGAAAUGCGUAGAGAUCGGGAGGAAUACCAGUGGCGAAGGCGGCCUUCUGGACUGACACUGACACUGAGGUGCGAAAGCGUGGGUAGCAAACAGGAUUAGAUACCCUGGUAGUC